CAACGUCUGACCCAGAACCUCAACGUCUGACCCAGAAACUCAGCUUCUAUGGUUCUGAUGGUGGAGUCACACACCUGGAACCUUCCUAGAACGGUUCUAGAACAUUGCUUUAAGCUUCCAGGAAUGUUGGAACAUUCCAUUAAAGUUCCAGGAAUGUUGGAACGUUCCUUUAAGCUUCCAGGAAUGUUGGAACAUUCCAUUAAAGUUCCAGGAAUGUUGGAACAUUCCUUUAAAAUUCCAGGAAUGUUGGAACAUUCUGUUAAAGUUCCAGGAAUGUUGGAACGUUCCUUUAUGCUUCCAGGAAUGUUGGAACAUUCUGUUAAAGUUCCAGGAAUGUUGGAACGUUCCUUUAAGCUUCCAGGAAUGUUGGAACAUUCCAUUAAAGUUCCAGGAAUGUUGGAACGUUCCUUUAAGCUUCCAGGAAUGUUAGAAUGUUCCUUGGAGGUUGCGUCCUGGCCCAGCUCUGAUCUCUACCUUCACAGACAUCCUUUAAGAGUCUCUUUCCUGCUCCCUGGUGGGCGGGGCCUGAUGAUGCAUUUGGGACCAGCCAAUCAGAGCGGAGGGACCAUUAACCAAUCAUUGGGUGUUUUUAUGUUUCUGCUGCGACCAAGUUGGAACCGGACUGAUGAUUCCAAAGUUGUAGAAACGGAAUGUUUUCCUGACGAGGGAGAAGAUGGACAAUCCACAGCUGUGGGAAACUAUGCACGCUGCCGGCCGACGGGCCGCAUGGACGGUAACCUAGCAACCAGUCAUCGGUCAGACGCCAUCGACUGGAGGAACUACUGAGAACCAGCAGGAAGGAAGGACACAGACCUGACCGGCCAAUCAGAGGAGAGAGCGGCUGACCAAUCAGCAGAGACCUCUCAGGAUUUGAAGUCCUGAUCUUAGCAAUAAACCAGAGAUGGUUCCCUGAUCGGCUCCCUGACUGGACCUUCUGAACCGGACCUACAUGUAGAACCGUUCCUGCUUCCAGUAGAACCGGACCGUCGGACCUGGAAGCCUUUUAAAGACAGGAGGGCGACAACAGGAGGAUAAACUGUCAGUUUGUAAAUGUAAUGUGAAAUGUAAAUCGCUUUAUUGUCCCAAACCCCGCCUCUUAUUUAGCCCCUCCCCUCUGGGAGCCGUGGGCUGAAUCACUUUGAUCCUGUUUGGAGAGAAACAAUCAACUUUAAUUAUCUAAUUUAAGUCAUUUACGGUAAAAACAACGAAAGAAAGAAAAACAAAAAGGUCAAUU